AUCCAGCUGACGAGCCCCAAAUUGGACGCAACCCACGUCCUGGAU
rfam:Schistosoma rodhaini strain Burundi genome assembly, scaffold: SROB_scaffold0007950